UAUCACCAUUGAGGCAUUGACCGGGCUAGUGGCAAAUUCCCCCCCACAUCGCCACCAAGUGGCCGGCCAUGGUGCUGCGGUAUCUCGUACCGCUGCUCCUCGCGGCGGCCGCUGCCACCACCGCGCCCGCCACUUUCGUGCUCGAGGAGGCCACCAUCGAGUCCAUCCACCGCGCCUUCGCCGGCGGCGCGCUCACCUCGCGCGGCCUCCUCGAGCUCUACCUGCGCCGCAUCGCGUCCCUCGACCCGGCCCUCCACGCCGUCGUAGAGCUCGACGCCGACGGCACGCUCGCCGCCGCCGAACGCGCCGACGCCGCCCGCCUCCUCGGAGGCGCCGCGCUCCCGCCGCUCCACGGCAUUCCCGUGCUCAUCAAGGACAACAUCGCCGCGGCCGGCGCCUUGAACGCGACGGCCGGUUCGCUCGCGCUGGUCGGGUCCCGCCCCGCGCGCGACGCCGGCGUGGUCGCGCGGCUCCGGCGCGCCGGCGCGGUGGUCCUCGGCACCGCCAGCCUCAGCGAGUGGUGUAACUUCCGCGCCCCCGGCGUCCCCGCCGGCUGGAGCCCCCGCGGCGGCCAGGGCCUGAACCCAUACGUGCCGUCAGCGACGACCUGCUCCUCCAGCAGCGGCUCCGCCAUUGCGGCGGCGGCAAACAUGGUGUCGGUGACGAUUGGAACUGAGACGGAUGGGUCAAUCAUGUGCCCGUCCAGCUUCAACUCCGUUGUCGGGAUUAAGCCCACGGUCGGCCUCACAAGCCGUGCCGGCGUCAUCAUCAUUUCUCUAAGGAUGGACACAGUUGGACCAAUAUGUAGGACUGUUUCAGAUGCAGUAAAUGUGUUGGAAGCAAUCGUUGGUUAUGAUCCACGGGAUGCAGAGGCAACUCGCAUGGCAUCUCAGUAUAUCCCAGAAGGCGGUUACGGGCAAUUCUUGAACAUAGAUGGUCUAAGAGGCAAGAGGAUUGGUAUUCUCAGGAAGGAUUUCUUCCGGUUUCCCCCAGGAUCUAUCCAAGAAAAGGUGUUUGGGGAUCACUUCAACACUAUGAGGCAAUUGGGGGCCAUCUUGGUGGACAAUCUUGAGAUACCAAGCAUCAAAGUCAUCAACGAUGCAGUACAAAGCGGCGAACGUGCUCUUAUGCUCGCUGAAUUCAAGCUGUCCCUCAACUCUUACUUGUCUGAACUGGCCACCACACCUGUUAAAUCAUUAUCAGACAUAAUUGAUUUCAACAACAAGCAUCCUGUGGAGGAAAGGAUGGCUGAAUUUGGCCAGAGCUACCUUGUGCAGUCUGAAGCAACAAACGGCAUUGGUCCGACUGAGGAGUGUGCGAUUGCCAAACUGAAUGAGCUGUGUAAGGAGGGCCUUGAGAAGAUUAUGCUAGUGAAUCGAUUGGAUGCAAUCGUCGCUCCUGGAGCAUCUGCCCAUAGCCUGCUCGCCAUCGGUGGCUACCCGGCGAUCACCGUCCCGGCCGGAUACGCGUCGGAUGGCGUUCCUUUUGCAAUCUGCUUUGGAGGGUUGAAAGGUUCAGAGCCGAAGCUUAUUGAGAUUUCUUAUUCCUUCGAGCAGGCAACGAAAGUCAGGAGACCUCCACCAGUAUUGCAGCAUUCUGCCCUUUGAUUGUAGUGUUGUUUUUACCUGAUUGUAUCAUUUUCAAGUCUGAAAGAAGAAAUAACACUUUCUUGUUCAGGCGUUAUUCAACGCUGGGCUCUUCCAGUGGAGGAGACCAGAAAACCUUGUAGUUCUUGCCGUGCAUGUUUGAUCAUCAGGGCAUUCUAACCCACGUCGUUGAUGCUGACGAUGCCGGCGUACAGCCGGACCCUGUCCAAGCGUCUUGGGAUAUGCACGAUCUUAUACAUGGUGAUGGCGCUGGGCAGAGGAGAGGCUUGAUGCGGCUGCGCACCUCCGUGGUGCAGCUGUGCGGAAGCCCCAGCAGACUCGCCUCUAUAACGUUUGUUUGAGUUGCCCGCGAUGACCGGCUGCGUCGUUUGCCUCUAGUUGUACUUGGUUUGCAGCGAUUGAGACAACCUGUUUCGUUUGUUUCCAUUAGAAGUGAGCGCAAUGGCUGGCACCGGAGAAUACGUGGCUGAUCAUCCAACUCCUCUUCUAGAUCAGCAAGCAAGCAAUAAGUAGUAGUACCGAUCUCCUCACCCCUUGCCCUAUCCUCUUAGUGGUGCAACAGUCGAUCAAUCAAGGAAUCCCUUCUGGGACGGUGGCGACCAUGCCUUCAGGUGGCUAGAGCACCAGCGUCGCACCUAGGCUAACCUUGAUCUUCCAGAUGGAAAACCUCCCGGAGGUAACUCCUCUCUCUUCUGUUAGACUAUUCGGUCUGUGUUUCAGUUAAGCACUUCGCGUGUGUUUGAUGCUCGCUCCACCUUCUAUAUAUCAUACUCUUCAGCAGAAAUUCAAUUUGGGACAUGGGAGCAUCGAGUUACCGAAAUUAGCACCAUCAAUUCUCAAAAUAGCCUUGGGAUCCAGUUAAAGGUUCAAUGUAUAAUGAUUCGGGGGCCAUGUUUUGGCUCCGAAGUGCAUAUGAACCUAUUAUGCAAAAUGCCUCGGAAACAAAUAUAAAAAUAUUGAAAAAAAUCCAAAAUAAGCUCAGCGGGAAAUCAGAUGGCGCGGGAGAACCUGGCCUGCAGUUGUAAGAUCAAAAUCACUGCAGGAAGGAGCUACUACAACGUCAAGGAUAAUUUGGGAUUUGACAGAACAUGCCCUUCAUGUUUUUUUUUAAAAAUAAUUGAUAUGCACAUGAUUCUUGAACAGCUAAGUUCCAUUUUCUCGCA